ACGACCUUACUUGAACAGGAUCUGUUCUAUAGGCUCGUACCUCUGUAUCCUUGAGUUCUAAGGAGACAGGAACCUACGUCUGGUGGAUGAACCAUGACCAUGAGAUCAGAGCGUGAUUAAUGGCCUGAUGAGCUUCCCUGUGGGAGGUGUGUCGUCUGGGGCCGUAGAGGAUCGUUCUCAGACAGUUAAUGGCUGAGAUGGUCUCAUGGUUGUCUGACAGACU
rfam:Cajanus cajan Scaffold129046_25, whole genome shotgun sequence.